UCCGCGCUCCCGGCUGCCACCGCUCGCCUCGCCUCCGUCUGCGGCUCACGGGACGCAUCACCUCUGCGCUCGCGCCGGCCGCCGCUCCCCAGUUGCGCCGCCUUCGCCCGUGGCUCAUGGGCCGGCGUCGCCUCUGCACGCGCACCGGACGCCAGUCGUCUCGCGUACGCCCGCAGCGGCCGCCGAGGCCAUUGCCGCCAUGCCGCACCUCGACGGGGAAACGGUCUAAUCCAUCCGUGGAAGCCCCAUCCACUGCGAGGCAGCACACCAUGCAUUUGACGGUUUGCUUGUGUACCCUCUGCUUCGGCCAUGGAAGAUGCCCACUGUGUGUUUGAUGGUUUGCGUCUGCAGCACUGACCAAUUGACCAUGCCCUGAUUUAGAUGAUAGGGAGCCCUGUUUAAUAAAAAGAAGACACAUUUAAGCUACUUGCCUUAUCUAAGGGUGGUUUGAUAUAAAGCUCUACACAAGAUCCUCUCCCAGUGACGAUUUAACAUUUGUGAUAGCUGUGCCAAUCGAGCUGUUGUGCUUUCUAUGCAAUGCAACACCACCGUGCUGAAGGCCAAAAGCUCUUCUAUAAUUGGUCCUGCCCAUUUCUUUUCUUUUCUUUUCUUCUUUUUUUCCCACUUCAUUCCUAUUUACUUCAAUAGGCCUGAUUUAUAUAGCCUCCCUACUGCAAUACAAUAUGAAUUGUGCUAUCCGAUGUGUAUAAUAUACCUCAGAAAAAAAAGUAAUCGCUUACAAACUAUAUAAAUAAAAAACCAUCUCCUCCUA